rfam:Ciona savignyi cont_45859, whole genome shotgun sequence.
UACCUGGUUGAUCCUGCCAGUAGUCAUAUGCUUGUCUCAAAGAUUAAGCCAUGCAAGUCUAAGUACGAGCUCUCGUACAGUGAAACUGCGAAUGGCUCAUUAAAUCAGUUAUGGUUCAUUUGAUCGUACAGUUUACUUGGAUAACUGUGGUAAUUCUAGAGCUAAUACAUGCGAGAAGCGCCGACCUCGCGGGAGGCGUGCAUUUAUCAGACCAAAAACCGGCCGCGUCUUCGGGCGCGUUCGCCUUGGUGACUCUGGAUAACUUUGCGGAUCGCACGGUCUAGCACCGGCGACGGAUCAUUCAAGUGUCUGCCCUAUCAACUUUCGUCGGUACGGUAUUUGCCUACCGAGGUUCUUACGGGUGACGGGGAAUCAGGGUUCGAUUCCGGAGAGGGAGCCUGAGAAACGGCUACCACAUCCAAGGAAGGCAGCAGGCGCGCAAAUUACCCAUUCCCGACGCGGGGAGGUAGUGACGAAAAAUAACAAUGCAGGACUCGUUCGAGGCCCUGUAAUUGGAAUGAGUACACUUUAAAAGCUUUAACGAGUAUCCAUUGGAGGGCAAGUCUGGUGCCAGCAGCCGCGGUAAUUCCAGCUCCAAAAGUAUAUAUUUAAGUUGUUGCGGUUAAAAAGCUCGUAGUUGGAUUUUGGGCGCAGGCGGCCGGUCCGUCGCAAGGCG